UACGUAGGGUGCGAGCGUUAAUCGGAAUUACUGGGCGUAAAGGGUGCGCAGGCGGUCUCGUAAGCUGGGUGUGAAAGCCCCCGGGCUUAACCUGGGAAUGGCAUUCAGGACUGCGAGGCUUUGAGUGCGGCAGAGGGAGGUGGAAUUCCACGUGUAGCAGUGAAAUGCGUAGAGAUGUGGAGGAACACCGAUGGCGAAGGCAGCCUCCUGGGCCAACACUGACGCUCAUGCACGAAAGCGUGGGGAGCAAACAGG
rnacentral:rRNA from 1 species